CUUGAGAAAAAAGGCAGUACGUUUUCUUUUAGUUGGUGGCCUCACCCCAGACCUUAAUGACAUACAAAAUUUUCUCCGCUUGCGUUACAGAUUUUAUUUUGGUAUUUACUUUGUCCAUGGCCAAGACAAGGGAAAGGGCAGUUAUGUAACAACCGUUCAAGCAAAGCGUCUCUCUCUUUUUGAUGCCCAAUACUCGUUGGAACAUUUUUCAGCGGAUUCACGAUCGAUGGACCUCGGCCCUGCCUUGUCUACCGUAACGGUGUAAUAC